rnacentral:rRNA from 1 species
AACGAACGCUGGCGGCAUGCCUAACACAUGCCAGUCGAACGAGACCUUCGGGUCUAGUGGCGCACGGGUGCGUAACGCGUGGGAACCUGCCCUUAGGUUCGGAAUAACUCCCCGAAAGGGGUGCUAAUACCGGAUAAUGUCUUCGGACCAAAGAUUUAUCGCCUUUGGAUGGGCCCGCGUUGGAUUAGCUAGUUGGUAGGGUAAAAGCCUACCAAGGCGACGAUCCAUAGCUGGUCUGAGAGGAUGAUCAGCCACACUGGGACUGAGACACGGCCCAGACUCGUACGGGAGGCAGCAGUGGGGAAUAAUGGACAGUGGGCGAAAGCCUGAUCCAGCAAUGCCGGGUGAGUGAUGAAGGCCUUAGGGUUGUAAAGCUCUUUUACCCGGGAUGAUAAUGACAGUACCGGGAGAAUAAGCUCCGGCUAACUCCGU